rnacentral:rRNA from 1 species
GUGAGGAAUAUUGCGCAAUGGAGGCAACUCUGACGCAGCCAUGCCGCGUGCAGGAAGAAGGCGCUACGCGUUGUAAACUGCUUUUAACCGGGAAGAAACCCCAGGACGUGUCCUGGGUUGACGGUACCGGAGGAAUAAGCACCGGCUAACUUCGUGCCAGCAGCCGCGGUAAUACGAAGGGUGCAAGCGUGAUCCGGAUUCAUUGGGCUUAAAGGGUGCGUAGGCGGAGCGUUAAGUCAGUGGUGAAAUCCUGCAGCUUAACUGUAGACUUGCCAUGGAUACUGGCGCUCUUGAGUGCGCUUGAAGUGGGCGGAAUGUGCCGUGUAGCGGUGAAAUGCUUAGAUAUGGCACAGAACACCAAUUGCGAAGGCAGCUCACUAAGGCGAUACUGACGCUGAGGCACGACAGCGUGGGGAUCGAACAGGAUUAGAAACCCGUGUAGUCC